rnacentral:SRP_RNA from 1 species
AAUCUGUCACGGAUAGUCGAGUGGAAGGGCGACCGCAAGGUUGGCAACCCUGCUUAGGUAAUCACCAGCGAGUAAGCGUGCCUGGUUCGAAUCAUGGAGUCGCGGAUGUACUCGUGCGAGUAAUCCACGAUCGCUACAACGCGUUAAGCAAUGGAAGUGACACUUGAGGGAAGCAAUUCUGCAGAGACACUUCCACUCUGUGAUGGCGGUACCAGAUGACACCUUCUCGUUACAGGGAAGCCAACCGUUUGGUUGCACAACCACUAUAUCUU